GCACUGUAUGAGCGUUAUACCGUUGUGGCUCAGGAGCGCGCAUUGAAGGAGAGCGAUGUCAAAUGUGCGAACAGUGC
rnacentral:sRNA from 20 species